rnacentral:lncRNA from 1 species
AGUCCAUACACAACCUUCCCAAAAUGACAUCGUUCCAGGAAGUUCCAUCACAACUGUUGAUCAACCAAUCAUCCAAAAGCCAUGAAACCCUCACCCAAAAUUGAGUAAAUAUUGCCAAAUCUCUGUAUAGAUACAGAGACAAACAUAUCACCCUCCUCGUACCAAAAUACUUUGGUGUAUCACAACCAUUGACCGCCUUAUGACCACCCAGCAGCCACCCUAACACCGCCGCCGGAAAUCGUCUUACGGCGGCAGCGGUCACCAAACCAUCCCAACUUUACACCACCAGACCACCAAAACCUCCUCUUCCCCGUCCUGCAACCAGCUUCAUUCGAACAACCCUCCUCCGUCUCGAAUAUUCAAAAGAACGAUCGUCGGAACCACCGUCGACGGCGACCCAACCCCAAACCACCCCAACUUUAAACCACCAGACCACCAAAACCUCAUCUUCCCCGUCCUGCAAUCCUUUCCUUUCAAACAACCCUCCAUCGCCUCGAAUAUCGAUUUGAAGGCUAACCAUAUAACUAUAACCCCAUCGGAUUCUGUUCAAACUCACCCCAGACAAUCCGCGUCCGUUCCCCACCCCAACCAUUCCACUCACAGUCCUCAAAUACUACUAACAACCAAGAAAGUUCAGAUCUAAGACCUCACUUAGUCUUAGAAUCACAAGUUCCCACUCCUGAACCCUUGAGCCCAUUACCCGCAAGGCCAGUUGCCCUAGAAGGUUAACAACCUCUCAAAAGAGGUCAGAAACCAACGAUUGGAUUCAAGUCAGGGUUACAUACGUACAAGCUAAGUACCCUGUUUUCAUUUUUUUUGUUUUCUUAAGUCUUUUCUUUACAUUUUUGUUUCGUGUUAAUUUUUAUAUGUUUUCCAUGGCCUCAGUUUAAAAUAUGUUUGUUAUGUUCUGUGCCUUCUCCGGACGUCAUUGAUAGAUUCAUUCCUUCUAUAAUCUUCUGAGUUGUGUUGCACAUGACUAAUUGAUCUUUGCCUUUUG